GGGGGCGUUUGGUUUCGACGGGGGUAGCAGGGAUAAGAGCUGCAGGCCGAGCUUUCCGACUCGUAAAUCCGGAAACAAUAAUUAAACGCCAAUAACGAUUUAGCUUACGCUGCUUAAUUAAAGCAGCGCGUCCUUACUCGGCUUUGCCCGAGAGCUGAGAUAAGGGCGUCAAAAAAAUCGGGAUUUUCUUUUAGCGUUGCUCUGGCGCUAAAAGAGAAACUUACAGAGCUGGCCGAGCUUUAAUCCUGCCCUCAGGAGUAAAGCCGGCGAGAUCCAAAAUGAGGGAUAAGCUUGUAGACGCUCUUAUUGAUGUACCUCCGGACAGGGGUUCGAUUCCCCUCGCCUCCACCA
rnacentral:tmRNA from 1 species